UGUGAGGCACUCACUGCCUCCUUCCAGAGCCCUCCUCCCUGCUCCUGGCCUGGAGGAGCAGGCGCCUAGAGGGAGAAGGACUGGCCACUUCAGAGCAACCCUACCCCAACCACACCAGUGAGGGGUUGGGGGAAGAAUCUGAAAUGAAAUAGGAGGGCAGCGUGGUGCCUUAGAAAUGUCUUUGCUGUUCUGAUAAAGGAGGGAUGAAUGCAGUGCACAAGAGAUAUCGAUCUCGGAUUGGAACAUAGAAAAUGUCAAUGAAGGAUCCACAGCUUUCAUCAUUCAUGGGAAACUGGCAGGCCAGACCAGCCCAUCCUGUCUCAGAAAGUGAACACCCCUGUGACAGCAGGAUGUUGGAGGUGGGGUAAAUCUUGCUGCGGCUAACUCUUUGGUUCUGUG